UACGUAGGGGGCAAGCGUUGUCCGGAAUCAUUGGGCGUAAAGAGCGUGUAGGCGGCCUGGUAAGUCCGCUGUGAAAGUCCAGGGCUCAACCCUGGAAUGCCGGUGGAAACUGUCAGGCUCGAGUCCGGAAGGGGCGAGUGGAAUUCCUGGUGUAGCGGUGAAAUGCGCAGAUAUCAGGAGGAACACCGGUGGCGAAGGCGGGUCUCUGGGCAAUAACUGACGCUGAGGAGCGAAAGCGUGGGGAGCGAACAGG
rnacentral:rRNA from 1 species